UCACUUUGGUGGUAUAUGUACUAAAAUUUGAACGAUACGGAGAAGAUUAGCAUGGCAUGGACAAUGUGUAAGUAUGACACACAUCGUGAAGAAGAAAAAAUGGCUUGG